rnacentral:rRNA from 1 species
AUGAACGCUAGCUACAGGCUUAACACAUGCAAGUCGAGGGGCAGCAUGGUCUUAGCUUGCUAAGGCCGAUGGCGACCGGCGCACGGGUGAGUAACACGUAUCCAACCUGCCGUCUACUCUUGGACAGCCUUCUGAAAGGAAGAUUAAUACAAGAUGGCAUCAUGAGUCCGCAUGUUCACAUGAUUAAAGGUAUUCCGGUAGACGAUGGGGAUGCGUUCCAUUAGAUAGUAGGCGGGGUAACGGCCCACCUAGUCUUCGAUGGAUAGGGGUUCUGAGAGGAAGGUCCCCCACAUUGGAACUGAGACACGGUCCAAACUCCUACGGGAGGCAGCAGUGAGGAAUAUUGGUCAAUGGGCGCAGGCCUGAACCAGCCAAGUAGCGUGAAGGAUGACUGCCCUAUGGGUUGUAAACUUCUUUUAUAAAGGAAUAAAGUCGGGUAUGUAUACCCGUUUGCAUGUACUUGAUGAAUAAGGAUCGGCUAACUCCGUG